UACGGAGGAUGCAAGCGUUAUCCGGAAUGAUUGGGCGUAAAGCGUCCGCAGGUGGCUAUGUAAGUCUGCUGUUAAAGAGCAAGGCUCAACCUUGUAAAGGCAGUGGAAACUACAUGGCUAGAGUGCGUUCGGGGCAGAGGGAAUUCCUGGUGUAGCGGUGAAAUGCGUAGAGAUCAGGAAGAACACCGGUGGCGAAGGCGCUCUGCUAGGCCGUAACUGACACUGAGGGACGAAAGCUAGGGGAGCGAAUGGG
rnacentral:rRNA from 1 species